UGCUAUGAUGCUGUAAUUUGCGUCUUAUCCAAGCGUUCGGCGGCAGUUGCCUGCUGCCAGAAAGCUGGCGCUCUUUGGAUGACGAUUACUCGUGACUGAGCA